GUUUACAGUGAGCGUUGAGUAUUAUACAUUGUUCCUUGCUGGAAUAGAAACCUAAAUGAAACCUAAAUUUUAAAAAAAGAUAAAAAAGUAAAACUGAAAACU